rnacentral:misc_RNA from 1 species
GAUGAAGAACGUAGUGAAAUGCGAUAAGUAAUGUGAAUUGCAGAAUUCAGUGAAUCAUCGAAUCUUUGAACGCACAUUGCGCCCGCUAGUACUCUAGCGGGCAUGCCUGUUCGAGCGUCAUUUCAACCCUCAAGCCCUGCUUGGUGUUGGGGCCCUACGGCUGCCGUAGGCCCUGAAAGGAAGUGGCGGGCUCGCUACAACUCCGAGCGUAGUAAUUCAUUAUCUCGCUUAGGGUGUUGUGCGGUGCUCCAGCCGUUAAAGACCAUCUUUAACUCAAGGUUGACCUCGGAUCAGGUAGGAAUACCCGCUGAACUUAAGCAUAUCAAUAAGCGGAGGA